AUUGAACGCUGGCGGCAGGCCUAACACAUGCAAGUCGAACGGUAACAGGAAGAAGCUUGCUUCUUUGCUGACGAGUGGCGGACGGGUGAGUAAUGUCUGGGAAACUGCCUGAUGGAGGGGGAUAACUACUGGAAACGGUAGCUAAUACCGCAUAACGUCGCAAGACCAAAGAGGGGGACCUUCGGGCCUCUUGCCAUCGGAUGUGCCCGGAUGGGAUUAGCUAGUAGGUGGGGUAACGGCUCACCUAGGCGACGAUCCCUAGCUGGUCUGAGAGGAUGACCAGCCACACUGGAACUGAGACACGGUCCAGACUCCUACGGGAGGCAGCAGUGGGGAAUAUUGCACAAAGGGCGCAAGCCUGAUGCAGCCAUGCCGCGUGUAUGAAGAAGGCCUUCGGGUUGUAAAGUACUUUCAGCGGGGAGGAAGGGAGUAAUGUUAAUACCUUUGCCCAUUGACGGUACCCGAAGAAGAAGCACCGGCUAACUCCGUG
rnacentral:rRNA from 1 species